GACGAACGCUGGCGGCGUGCCUAAUACAUGCAAGUCGAACGCAGUGGGGACGGGUGAGUAACACGUGGGUAACCUCCCAUCAGAGGGGAUAACACUUGGAAACAGGUGCUAAACCGAUACUGAUGGAUGGACCCGUGGUGCAGUAGCUAGUUGGUGGGGUAACGGCUCACCAAGGCCACGAUGCAUAGCCGACCUGAGAGGUGGAUGGGCCAGACUGGGACUGAGACACGGCCCAGACUCCUGCGGGAGGCAUCAGUAGGGAUGCGUCGGCAAUGGACGAAAGUCUGACCGGUCAACGCCGCGUGAGUGAAGAAGGUUUUGUGAUCGUAAAACUCUGUUGUUAGAGAAGCGGUAUCUAACCAGAAAGCCACGGCUAACUACGUGCCAGCAGCCGCGGUAAUAC
rnacentral:rRNA from 1 species